rnacentral:misc_RNA from 1 species
GAGAACUAGUUUCAAAGCGGGGGAGGAGGGGUCUUGCGGCUCCUUGUCCCUUUAUCUCGGGAAGGUUGCGCUGCGCUCGCGCGGCCGACCUUUCCGGGCGUACAAACGAACACCGGCGCGAAUUGCGCCAAGGAACUUGAACGAGAGAGCGCGUCCCCAUCGCCCCGAAACCGGUGUGCGCGGGCGGCGUCGUCAUCUUCA